rnacentral:tRNA from 1 species
GGGGAUUUAGCUCAGUGGUAGAGUGCUUGCCUAGCAAGUGCAAGGCCCUGGGUUUGGUUCAGUCCCCA